AUCGGCUGCAAUGGAGUCGAUAUAAAAAGCAAAGCAAAGGCAAAGAGAAAUCUUUGAUAGAAGAACAGUCGGUUCAAGAAGAGCCGAGCUAAUUAGUGAAAGUGAAGAAUCGACUGAUGAAGCCGAGAUAUAUGCGGCUGGUAAAGAGCCACUUUCUUUAAAGAGAAAUCUUUGAUAGAAGAACAGUUGGUUCAAGAAGAGCCGAGCCAAUAGAGUAAAAGCAAAGAAUCGGCUGAUGAAGCCGAGGUAUAUACAGCUAGAAUGAUAAAGAGUCGCU
rnacentral:lncRNA from 1 species